UUUCCGUAGGUGAACCUGCGGAAGGAUCAUUAUUGUAUAAUCGAGGUGCGAGGGCUGUCGCUGACCCGAAAGGUCGUGCACGCCCGAGUGCCCUCACACACAUCCAUCUCACCCCUAUGUGCACCACCGCGUGGGUCCCCCUUUGGCUUGUUCGGAGGGGGGCUUACGUUUUCACACAAACUUUGUAUGCAGUGUGGAAUGUAUUUUUUGUUUUUGCGAUCACGCAAUCAAUACAACUUUCAACAACGGAUCUCUUGGCUCUC
rnacentral:misc_RNA from 1 species